GAUGAACGCUGACAGAAUGCUUAACACAUGCAAGUCAACUGUGGCGGACGUGUGAGUAACGCGUAAAGAACUUGCCUCCCAGCUAGGGACAACAUUUGGAAACGAAUGCUAAUACCUGAUACUGUGAGAGAGCUUUGCGUCCCAUUAGCUAGUUGGAGAGGUAACGGCUCACCAAGGCGAUGAUGGGUAGCCGGCCUGAGAGGGUGAUCGGCCACAAGGGGACUGAGAGACGGCCCUUACGCAUCCGGGAGGCAGCAGUGGUGAAUAUUGGAGAAUGGACCAAAGUCUGAUCCAGCAAUUCUGUGUGAAAGAUGAAGUUUUCGGAAUGUAAAGUGCUUUGAGUUGGGAAGCGGUACCAACAGAAGAAGUGACGGCUAAAUACGUGCCAGCAGCCGCGGUAAUUC
rnacentral:rRNA from 1 species